rnacentral:rRNA from 1 species
UACAGAGGUCUCAAGCGUUGUUCGGAUUCAUUGGGCGUAAAGGGUGCGUAGGCGGCGCGGUAAGUCGGGUGUGAAAUCUUGGAGCUUAACUCCGAAACUGCAUUCGAUACUGGCGUGCUUGAGGACUGGAGAGGAGACUGGAAUUUACGGUGUAGCAGUGAAAUGCGUAGAUAUCGUAAGGAAGACCAGUGGCGAAGGCGGGUCUCUGGACAGUUCCUGACGCUGAGGCACGAAGGCCAGGGGAGCAAACGGG